AUGAUUUAUUGAUAUCAAGAUUGAUUCAAAGACCAUUUAAAUUAACAGAGAAACUUAGUUGAUUUCUUCUGGUCUGAAACAGGCCCCUGAAUAGUGUCCACACUGAUAACACCCAGUGGCUCAUCUCAAUAUCAGAUUCAAAGAUAACAGGAAAUGUUGCCCUGCAUCACAAAGGACUGCAGAGGUGAAUUCAUGAACGUGUGCUAGAUGUUUGGUUACUACAGAGAAAUCUCUUCCUGAAUGUGAUUGAGGAGCUUCAUCCUGGAAUUUUUUCAGAACUACAUGAAUAAUUUACAACAGCAAAAACACCACCACCACCAACAACAACAACAACAACAAAAUCCACAAGGAUCAUUCAAAAACUUUUAUUCCGUUAAAAAAGUAGUAAAGGGACAAGGUCCCUGGAGGAACGCAACACGGAGCACUGAAGAGACAGAAGACAGUACACCAGUAUGGCAUUAA
rnacentral:lncRNA from 1 species